UACGUAUGGGGCGAGCGUUGUCCGGAAUUAUUGGGCGUAAAGGGUACGUAGGCGGUUAGAAAAGUUAGAAGUGAAAUCCUAUAGCUCAACUAUAGUAAGCUUUUAAAACUGCUCAUCUUGAGGUAUGGAAGGGAAAGUGGAAUUCCUAGUGUAGCGGUGAAAUGCUUAGAUAUUAGGAGGAAUACCGGUGGCGAAGGCGACUUUCUGGCCAUAAACUGACGCUGAGGUACGAAAGCGUGGGUAGCAAACAGG
rnacentral:rRNA from 1 species